rnacentral:rRNA from 1 species
UACAGAGGGUGCAAGCGUUAAUCGGAAUUACUGGGCGUAAAGGGCGCGUAGGCGGAUAAUUAAGUUAGAUGUGAAAUCCCCAGGCUUAACCUGGGAACUGCAUUCGAGACUGCAUUGCUAGAGUAUGGGAGAGGGAAGUGGAAUUUCCGGUGUAGCGGUGAAAUGCGUAGAUAUCGGAAGGAACAUCAGUGGCGAAAGCGACUUCCUGGACCAAUACUGACGCUCAUGUGCGAAAGCGUGGGGAGCAAACAGG